GAUGAACGCUGGCGGCGUGCCUAAUACAUGCGAGUCGAGCGAACAGACGAGGAGCUUGCUCCUCUGACGUUAGCGGCGGACGGGUGAGUAACACGUGGAUAACCUACCUAUAAGACUGGGAUAACUUCGGGAAACCGGAGCUAAUACCGGAUAAUAUAUUGAACCGCAUGGUUCAAUAGUGAAAGACGGUUUUGCUGUCACUUAUAGAUGGAUCCGCGCCGCAUUAGCUAGUUGGUAAGGUAACGGCUUACCAAGGCGACGAUGCGUAGCCGACCUGAGAGGGUGAUCGGCCACACUGGCACUGAGACACGGUCCAGACUCCUACGGGAGGCAGCAGUAGGGAAUCUUCCGCAAUGGGCGAAAGCCUGACGGAGCAACGCCGCGUGAGUGAUGAAGGUCUUCGGAUCGUAAAACUCUGUUAUUAGGGAAGAACAAAUGUGUAAGUAACUAUGCACGUCUUGACGGUACCUAAUCAGAAAGCCACGGCUAACUACG
rnacentral:rRNA from 1 species